GCCCCGGUGGCUCAAGGGUUAAGCGCUUGGCUGCUAACCAAAAGGUUGGUGGUUCAAACCCAUCAAGCAGCA
rnacentral:tRNA from 1 species